rnacentral:rRNA from 1 species
AGAGUUUGAUCCUGGCUCAGAUUGAACGCUGGCGGCAUGCCUUACACAUGCAAGUCGAACGGUAGAGGGGGCAACCCCUCGAGAGUGGCGAACGGGUGAGUAAUAUAUCGGAACGUGCCCAGUCGUGGGGGAUAACGUAGCGAAAGUUACGCUAAUACCGCAUACGAUCUACGGAUGAAAGCGGGGGAUCGCAAGACCUCGCGCGAUUGGAGCGGCCGAUAUCAGAUUAGGUAGUUGGUGGGGUAAAGGCUCACCAAGCCAACGAUCUGUAGCUGGUCUGAGAGGACGACCAGCCACACUGGAACUGAGACACGGUCCAGACUCCUACGGGAGGCAGCAGUGGGGAAUUUUGGACAAUGGACGCAAGUCUGAUCCAGCCAUUCCGCGUGCAGGAUGAAGGCCCUCGGGUUGUAAACUGCUUUUGUACGGAACGAAAAGGUUUCCAUUAAUACUGGGAGCUCAUGACGGUACCGUAAGAAUAAGCACCGGCUAACUACGUGCCAGCAGCCGCGGUAAUACGUAGGGUGCAAGCGUUAAUCGGAAUUACUGGGCGUAAAGCGUGCGCAGGCGGUUAUGUAAGACAGAGGUGAAAUCCCCGGGCUCAACCUGGGAACUGCCUUUGUGACUGCAUAGCUAGAGUACGGUAGAGGGGGAUGGAAUUCCGCGUGUAGCAGUGAAAUGCGUAGAUAUGCGGAGGAACACCGAUGGCGAAGGCAAUCCCCUGGACCUGUACUGACGCUCAUGCACGAAAGCGUGGGGAGCAAACAGGAUUAGAUACCCUGGUAGUCCACGCCCUAAACGAUGUCAACUGGUUGUUGGGUCUUCACUGACUCAGUAACGAAGCUAACGCGUGAAGUUGACCGCCUGGGG